rnacentral:pre_miRNA from 1 species
CUUGUACUCCCUCCGUCCGAAAAUACUUGUCAUUGAAAUGUAUGUAUCUAGAUGUAUUUUAGUUCUAGACACAUCCAUUUUGAUGACAAGUAAUUCCGGACGAAGGGAGUACUUG